UCAUGUCUCUCUUUGUGCAGAUACCUAAGAAGGGGAAGAUUUAUUCAGUCAAUGAAGGGAACGCCAAAAAUUGGGACGUGCCUGUUGCAAAGUAGGUCUCAUUUGUGUUCAAAGUGCUUCCUUACUUCAUCAUUAUCUAAAAAAAAAUAAUGCUUCCUUGCUUGCUUAAGAACGCCCUGCCCAGCUAUAGCUUACACCAUAUUUCACAGGUUUGUGGAGAAGUGCAAAUACCCCGAAGAUGGUACGCCACCAAAAUCUUUGAGGUACAUUGGAAGGUGAGUCGAUCUUUCACUAGAUUUUCACCGGAAAAGUGAACGUAUGCGCCCUUUACAGUUUACAUAAUGAAGGAUGACACUAUUUAUAGUUUUAUACAGAUACUAAAACACACUCGUUGAUGUUGAUGGUUUACUUUUACAGUAUGGUUGCUGAUGUGCACCGUACCUUGCUAUAUGGAGGUGUAUUUUUGUACCCUGCUGACCAGAAGAGCCCAAAUGGAAAGCUCCGGUAAGCUGACGCCUACUCUCAUUUGGCAUCCGUUACGGCGUUGCCUCCAGGCUCCAGUUGCAUAACACUCUUGAACCUGUCUCGAUUGGUUUGGUUUUGCAGCGUCCUGUAUGAAGUUUUCCCCAUGUCAUUCCUAAUGGAGCAGGCUGGAGGUCAGUCCUUCACAGGCAAAGAACGGGUAGGGAUUUUCGCGCCUCUAUUUUCUGUAGAAAACAGAGCAUUUCUGCUCCCUUGCCAUAGAGCUGCUUGUUCAGUACCUGUACCUUGAUGCGGCGAAAUAUGUUGAUGAAUUGCCACUGCAGGCUCUUGAUCUAGUCCCAACCAAGAUCCACGACAGAUCCCCGAUAUUCCUCG
rnacentral:lncRNA from 1 species